CCUACGGGACGCAGCAGUGGGGAAUAUUGCUCAAUGGGCGCAAGCCUGAUGCAGCCAUGCCGCGUGUAUGAAGAGGGCCUUCGGGUUGUAAAGUACUUUCAGCGGGGAGGAAGGCGAUAAGGUUAAUAACCUUGUCGAUUGACGUUACCCGCAGAAGAAGCACCGGCCAACUCCGUGCCAGCAGCCGCGGUAAUACGGAGGGUGCAAGCGUUAAUCGGAAUUACUGGGCGUAAAGCGCACGCAGGCGGUCUGUCAAGUCGGAUGUGAAAUCCCCGGGCUCAACCUGGGAACUGCAUUCGAAACUGGCAGGCUGGAGUCUUGUAGAGGGGGGUAGAAUUCCAGGUGUAGCGGUGAAAUGCGUAGAGAUCUGGAGGAAUACCGGUGGCGAAGGCGGCCCCCUGGACAAAGACUGACGCUCAGGUGCGAAAGCGUGGGGAGCAAACAGGAUUAGAUACCCCAGUAGUC
rnacentral:rRNA from 1 species